GACGAACGCUGGCGGCGUGCCUAAUACAUGCAAGUCGAGCGGAACCUUUGGAGCUUGCUCCAUUGGUUUAGCGGCGGACGGGUGAGUAACACGUGGGCAACCUGCCCUGCAGAUCGGGAUAACUCCGGGAAACCGGUGCUAAUACCGAAUAGUUUGCGGCCUCUCCUGAGGCUGCACGGAAAGACGGUUUCGGCUGUCACUGCAGGAUGGGCCCGCGGCGCAUUAGCUAGUUGGUGGGGUAAUGGCCCACCAAGGCCACGAUGCGUAGCCGACCUGAGAGGGUGAUCGGCCACACUGGGACUGAGACACGGCCCAGACUCCUACGGGAGGCAGCAGUAGGGAAUCUUCCGCAAUGGACGCAAGUCUGACGGAGCAACGCCGCGUGAGUGACGAAGGUUUUCGGAUCGUAAAACUCUGUUGUGAGGGAAGAACACGUACCAGGUAACUACUGGUACCUUGACGGUACCUCACCAGAAAGCCACGGCUAACUACGUGCCAGCCGCCGCCGUAACAC
rnacentral:rRNA from 1 species